UACGGAAGGCAGCAGUGGGGAAUUUUGCGCAAUGGGGGAAACCCUGACGCAGCAACGCCGCGUGGAGGAUGAAAUCCCUUGGGAUGUAAACUCCUUUCGAUCGGGAAGAUAAUGACGGUACCGAGAGAAGAAGCCCCGGCUAACUUCGUGCCAGCAGCCGCGGUAAUACGAGGGGGCAAGCGUUGUUCGGAAUUAUUGGGCGUAAAGGGUGCGUAGGCGGUUUGAUAAGUUUGGUGUGAAAUCUCUGGGCUCAACCCAGAGUCUGCAUCGAAAACUGUCGGGCUUGAGUAUGGGAGAGGUGAGUGGAAUUUUCCGGUGUAGCGGUGAAAUGCGUAGAUAUCGGAAGGAACACCUGUGGCGAAAGCGGCUCACUGGACCAUAACUGACGCUGAUGCACGAAAGCUAGGGGAGCAAACAGGGAUUAGAUACC
rnacentral:rRNA from 1 species